rnacentral:miRNA from 1 species
UACAAUUCCUUAGGUGCUUUU